rnacentral:rRNA from 1 species
AGAGUUUGAUCCUGGCUCAGAUUGAACGCUGGCGGCAGGCUUAACACAUGCAAGUCGAGCGGUAGCACGGGGGAGCUUGCUCCCCGGGUGACGAGCGGCGGACGGGUGAGUAAUGUCUGGGAAACUGCCUGAUGGAGGGGGAUAACUACUGGAAACGGUAGCUAAUACCGCAUAACGUCGCAAGACCAAAGAGGGGGACCUUCGGGCCUCUUGCCAUCAGAUGUGCCCAGAUGGGAUUAGCUAGUAGGUGGGGUAAUGGCUCACCUAGGCGACGAUCCCUAGCUGGUCUGAGAGGAUGACCAGCCACACUGGAACUGAGACACGGUCCAGACUCCUACGGGAGGCAGCAGUGGGGAAUAUUGCACAAUGGGCGCAAGCCUGAUGCAGCCAUGCCGCGUGUGUGAAGAAGGCCUUCGGGUUGUAAAGCACUUUCAGCGAGGAGGAAGGUGGUGAACUUAAUACGUUCAUCAAUUGACGUUACUCGCAGAAGAAGCACCGGCUAACUCCGUGCCAGCAGCCGCGGUAAUACGGAGGGUGCAAGCGUUAAUCGGAAUUACUGGGCGUAAAGCGCACGCAGGCGGUUUGUUAAGUCAGAUGUGAAAUCCCCGGGCUCAACCUGGGAACUGCCUUUUAAACUUGGUAGCUAGAGUCUCGUAGAGGGGGGUAGAAUUCCUGGUGUAGCGGUGAAUUGCGUAAAGAUCUGGAGGAAUACCCGAGGCGAAGUCGUCCUCCUGUACACUAUCGACGCCCAAGUGGCCAAAGCCUGCGGAGCCAAAAGGAUACAUAUCCUGUAGACCACCCUGUAAAUAAUUCC